AAUGAACGUUGGCGGCAUGGAUUAGGCAUGCAAGUCGAGCGAGAAGUGUAGCAAUACACGGAAAGCGGCGGAAGGGAGAGUAAUACGUGGGAAUCUGCCCUUAGACCUGGGAUAGCAGCGGGAAACUGCUGGUAAUACCAGAUAAUGUCUAUGGACCAAAGGUGUGAUUCCGUCUAGGGAUGAGCCCACGUCCUAUUAGCUAGUUGGUAGGGUAAUGGCCUACCAAGGCGAUGAUGGGUAGCGGGUGUGAGAGCAUGACCCGCCUCACUGGGACUGAGACACUGCCCAGACACCUACGGGUGGCUGCAGUCGAGAAUCUUCGGCAAUGGGCGCAAGCCUGACCGAGCGAUGCCGCGUGCGGGAUGAAGGCCUUCGGGUUGUAAACCGCUGUCGAGGGGGAGCAACUUCCAUAGAGUUAUCUUUAUGGAUUGAGUGAUCCCUGGAGGAAGGACGGGCUAAGUUCGUGCCAGCCGCCGCGGUAAUAC
rnacentral:rRNA from 1 species